UACGUAGGGACCGAGCGUUGUCCGGAUUCAUUGGGCGUAAAGGGCGCGUAGGCGGGAUGGCAAGUCGGUCGUGAAAUCCCUCGGCUCAACCGAGGAACGUCGAUCGAUACUGCUGUUCUUGAGGAUUGCAGAGGAGACUGGAAUUCCCGGUGUAGCGGUGAAAUGUGUAGAGAUCGGGAGGAACACCGGUGGCGAAGGCGGGUCUCUGGGCAAUUCCUGACGCUGAGGCGCGAAAGCGUGGGGAGCAAACGGG
rnacentral:rRNA from 1 species